rnacentral:rRNA from 1 species
UUAAAGGAAUUUGACGGGUCCCCGCACAAGCAGCGGAGCGUGUGGUUUAAUUCGUUGCUACACGAAGAACCUUACCUGGGUUUGACAUAGCAGUGGUAGGGAAGCGAAAGCGGACCGACCCUUCGGGGAGCUGUUACAGGUGUUGCAUGGCUGUCGUCAGCUCGUGUCGUGAGAUGUUCGGUUAAGUCCGCUAACGAGCGCAACCCGCGUUGUGUGUUACAAGUGUCACACAAUACCGCCGGUAUUAAGUCGGAGGAAGGUGCGGAUGACGCCAAGUCAGCAUGACCUUUAUAUCCAGGGCUACACACACGCUACAAUGGUCAGCACAAUAGGUUGCCAGGUCGUGAGACGGAGCCAAUCCUCCAAAGCUGGCCUCAGUUCAGAUUGUAGGCUGCAACCCGCCUGCAUGAAGUUGGAGUUGCUAGUAACCGCAGGUCAGCUAUACUGCGGUGAAUACGUUCCCGGGGAUU